rnacentral:misc_RNA from 1 species
AGAAUAUUUCCGCUGCUUUAGCCGGUUUAAGAUAGUUUCUUCACUCAAUCCAGUACUAACAUUUCCAAUGCGCUCUUCCAAAGCCAACAACUCCUCAUACGACAUGUUAUCAACAUCAAGCCGCAUAUCCCUAUGCCUAUCAUGAAUAUCAGCCACUCCAAAAAACACUGAUUGGUCAAGAAUCAUGACAUCCUCAAAUCGCAAGCUCUCACCCCUUCGCA